rnacentral:rRNA from 1 species
CAGUAGCCGCGGUAAUACGUAGGGUGCAAGCGUUAAUCGGAAUUACUGCGCGUAAAGCGUGCGCAGGCGGUUCGUUAAGACAGAUGUGAAAUCCCCGGGCUUAACCUGGGAACUGCAUUUGUGACUGGCGGGCUAGAGUAUGGCAGAGGGGGGUAGAAUUCCACGUGUAGCAGUGAAAUGCGUAGAGAUGUGGAGGAAUACCGAUGGCGAAGGCAGCCCCCUGGGCCAAUACUGACGCUCAUGCACGAAAGCGUGGGGAGCAAACAGGAUUAGAUACCCCGGUAGUACCUGUCUCUUAUAC